rnacentral:rRNA from 1 species
GACGAACGCUGGCGGCGUGCCUAAUACAUGCAAGUAGAACGCUGAAGAGAGGAGCUUACUCUUCUUGGAUGAGUUGCGAACGGGUGAGUAACGCGUAGGUAACCUGCCUUGUAGCGGGGGAUAACUAUUGGAAACGAUAGCUAAUACCGCAUAACAAUGGAUGACACAUGUCAUUUAUUUGAAAGGGGCAAUUGCUCCACUACAAGAUGGACCUGCGUUGUAUUAGCUAGUAGGUGAGGUAAUGGCUCACCUAGGCGACGAUACAUAGCCGACCUGAGAGGGUGAUCGGCCACACUGGGACUGAGACACGGCCCAGACUCUUACGGGAGGCAGCAGUAGGGAAUCUUCGGCAAUGGGGGCAACCCUGACCGAGCAACGCCGCGUGAGUGAAGAAGGUUUUCGGAUCGUAAAGCUCUGUUGUAAGUCAAGAACGGGUGUGAGAGUGGAAAGUUCACACUGUGACGGUAGCUUACCAGAAAGGGACGGCUAACUACGUG